GAUGAACGCUGGCGGCGUGCCUAAUACAUGCAAGUCGAGCGAACCACUUCGGUGGUGAGCGGCGAACGGGUGAGUAACACGUAGGUUAUCUGCCCAUCAGACGGGGACAACGAUUGGAAACGAUCGCUAAUACCGGAUAGGACGAAAGUUUAAAGGUGCUUCGUCACCACUGAUGGAUGAGCCUGCGGCGCAUUAGCUAGUUGGUAGGGUAAAGGCCUACCAAGGCGACGAUGCGUAGCCGACCUGAGAGGGUGAACGGCCACACUGGGACUGAGACACGGCCCAGACUCCUACGGGAGGCAGCAGUAGGGAAUCUUCGGCAAUGGGCGAAAGCCUGACCGAGCAACGCCGCGUGAAUGAUGAAGGCCUUCGGGUUGUAAAAUUCUGUUAUAAGGGAAGAAUGGCUCUAGUAGGAAAUGGCUAGAGUGUGACGGUACCUUAUGAGAAAGCCACGGCUAACUACGUGCCAGCAGCCGCGGUAAAAC
rnacentral:rRNA from 1 species